rnacentral:rRNA from 1 species
GAACUGAAGAGUUUGAUCAUGGCUCAGAUUGAACGCUGGCGGCAGGCCUAACACAUGCAAGUCGAGCGGAUGAAGGGAGCUUGCUCCUGGAUUCAGCGGCGGACGGGUGAGUAAUGCCUAGGAAUCUGCCUGGUAGUGGGGGAUAACGUCCGGAAACGGGCGCUAAUACCGCAUACGUCCUGAGGGAGAAAGUGGGGGAUCUUCGGACCUCACGCUAUCAGAUGAGCCUAGGUCGGAUUAGCUAGUUGGUGGGGUAAAGGCCUACCAAGGCGACGAUCCGUAAC